CAGCGCCACGAGUGGGGAUCCUGUUUAUUUGGCCUAAAGCGUCCGUAGCUGGUUUAGUAAAUCUCUUGUGAAAUCGUUAAGCUUAACUUAACGGCGUGCAGGAGAGACUGCUUAGCUAGGGACCGGGAGGAGUCAGAGGUAUGCUGGGGGGAGCGGUAAAAUGCAAUAAUCCUCGGUAGACCACCUGUGGCGAAGGCGUCUGACUAGAACGGGUCCGACAGUGAGGGACGAAAGCCAGGGGAGCAAACCGGAUUAGAUACCCGAGUAGUCC
rnacentral:rRNA from 1 species